rnacentral:rRNA from 1 species
AAUAGCUCACUAGUCGAGUGACUCUGCGCCGAAAAUGUACCGGGGCUAAAUACACCACCGAAGCUGCGGAUUGAUACCAAUGGUAUCAGUGGUAGGGGAGCGUUCUAAGGACAGUGAAGUCAGACCGGAAGGACUGGUGGAGUGCUUAGAAGUGAGAAUGCCGGUAUGAGUAGCGAAAGACGGGUGAGAAUCCCGUCCACCGAAUGCCUAAGGUUUCCUGAGGAAGGCUCGUCCGCUCAGGGUUAGUCAGGACCUAAGCCGAGGCCGACAGGCGUAGGCGAUGGACAACAGGUUGAUAUUCCUGUACCACCUCUUUAUCGUUUGAGCAAUGGAGGGACGCAGAAGGAUAGAAGAAGCGUGCGAUUGGUUGUGCACGUCCAAGCAGUUAGGCUGAUAAGUAGGCAAAUCCGCUUAUCGUGAAGGCUGAGCUGUGAUGGGGAAGCUCCUUAUGGAGCGAAGUCUUUGAUUCCCCGCUGCCAAGAAAAGCUUCUAGCGAGAUAAAAGGUGCCUGUACCGCAAACCGACACAGGUAGGCGAGGAGAGAAU